UGCGUAGGCGGAUUAAUAAGUCAGUGGUGAAAUCUCUCGGCUCAACCGGGAAACCGCCAUUGAUACUGUUAAUCUUGAGUUCGGUUGAGGUAGGCGGAAUGUGUAAUGUAGCGGUGAAAUGCUUAGAUAUUACACAGAACACCAAUUGCGUAGGCAGCUUACUAGACCGACACUGACGCUGAGGCACGAAAGCGUGGGUAGCGAACAGGAUUAGAUACCCUGGUAGUCC
rnacentral:rRNA from 1 species